UACGUAGGGUGCGAGCGUUAAUCAGAAUUACUGGGCGUAAAGCGUGCGCAGGCGGUUUUGUAAGCCAGAUGUGAAAUCCCCGGGCUCAACCUGGGAAUGGCAUUUGGGACUGCAAGGCUUGAGUGCGGCAGAGGAGACUGGAAUUCCUGGUGUAGCAGUGAAAUGCGCAGAUAUCAGGAGGAACACCGGUGGCGAAGGCGGAUCUCUGGGCCAUUACUGACGCUGAGGAGCGAAAGCGUGGGGAGCGAACAGG
rnacentral:rRNA from 1 species